CCUACGGGAGGCAGCAGUGGGGAAUAUUGGACAAUGGGGGCAACCCUGAUCCAGCCAUGCCGCGUGUGUGAAGAAGGCCCUCGGGUUGUAAAGCACUUUCAGUGAGGAAGAACGCCUGGUGGUUAAUACCCAUCAGGAAAGACAUCACUCACAGAAGAAGCACCGGCUAACUCCGUGCCAGCAGCCGCGGUAAUACGGAGGGUGCGAGCGUUAAUCGGAAUUACUGGGCGUAAAGCGCGCGUAGGUGGCUUGAUAAGCCGGUUGUGAAAGCCCCGGGCUCAACCUGGGAACGGCAUCCGGAACUGUCAAGCUAGAGUGUAGGAGAGGAAGGUAGAAUUCCCGGUGUAGCGGUGAAAUGCGUAGAGAUCGGGAGGAAUACCAGUGGCGAAGGCGGCCUUCUGGACUGACACUGACACUGAGGUGCGAAAGCGUGGGUAGCAAACAGGAUUAGAUAUCCGAGUAGUC
rnacentral:rRNA from 1 species